rnacentral:tRNA from 1 species
AAAUAAGAAGCAAACAAUAUGCAUUUAGUUUCGACCUAAAAAUUUGAUUAUUAAUCCUUAUUUU